UACGUAGGGUGCUAGCGUUGUUCGGAAUCAUUGGGCGUAAAGCGCGUGUAGGCGGUUAGUUAAGUCAGAUGUGAAAGCCCCGGGCUUAACCUGGGAAUUGCAUUUGAUACUCUGGAGCUUGAGUACGGGAGAGGAUAGUGGAAUUCCCAGUGUAGAGGUGAAAUUCGUAGAUAUUGGGAAGAACACCGGUGGCGAAGGCGGCUAUCUGGACCGUAACUGACGCUGAGGCGCGAAAGCUGGGGGAGCAAACAGG
rnacentral:rRNA from 1 species